rnacentral:rRNA from 1 species
UACGGGGGGGGCAAGCGUUGUUCGGAAUUACUGGGCGUAAAGGGCGUGUAGGUGGCCAACUAAGUCCGACGUGAAAUCCCCAGGCUUAACCUGGGAACUGCGUCGGAUACUGGAUGGCUUGAAUUCGGGAGAGGGAUGCAGAAUUCCAGGUGUAGCGGUGAAAUGCGUAGAUAUCGCUUGGAACGCCAACGGUGAAAACAGCUCGCUGGGGGUGUGCUGACGCUGAGACACGAAAGCCAGGGGAGCGAACGGG